rnacentral:rRNA from 1 species
AAUCAACGCUGGCGGCGUGCCUCAGACAUGCAAGUCGAACGCGAAAGGUUCCUUCGGGGACCGAGUAGAGUGGCGCACGGGUGAGUAACACGUAGGUAAUUUGCCUUUGGGUGGGGAAUAACUCAGGGAAACUUGAGCUAAUACCGCAUAAUGCAGCGGCUCGACAUCGAGACAGUUGUUAAAGCGGGGGAGUUCGCAAGAACCUCGCGCCUAAAGAAGAAGCCUGCGGCAGA